rnacentral:rRNA from 1 species
GACGAACGCUGGCGGCGUGCUUAACACAUGCAAGUCGAACGGAAAGGCCUGCUUUCCCUUGUGGAUUGCGGGUACUCGAGUGGCGAACGGGUGAGUAACACGUGAGUGAUCUGCCCCCAACUUGGGUAUAAGCCUGGGAAACUGGGUCUAAUUCCCGAUAGGACUGCAGGGUGGUGCCUGUGGUGGAAAACGAUUUUCUAGUGGUUGGGGAUGAGCUCGCGGCCUAUCAGCUUGUUGGUGGGGUAAUGGCCUACCAAGGCGGCGACGGGUAGCCGGCCUGGGAGGGUGGACGGCCGCAUUGGGACUGCGAUACGGCCCCGACUCCUACGGGAGGCAGCAGUGGGGAAUAUUGCACAAUGGGCGGAAGCCUGAUGCAGCGACGCCGCGUGGGGGAUGACGGCCUUCGGGUUGUAAACUCCUUUCGACCGCGAGGAAGCCACCUGGUUGGAAGGGUGGUGACGGUAGUGGUAGAAGAAGCACCGGCUAACUACGUG